rnacentral:rRNA from 1 species
UGGGGAAUAUUGCACAAUGGGCGCAAGCCUGAUGCAGCGACGCCGCGUGAGGGAUGACGGCCUUCGGGUUGUAAACCUCUUUCAGCACCGACGAAGCGAAAGUGACGGUAGGUGCAGAAGAAGGACCGGCCAACUACGUGCCAGCAGCCGCGGUAAUACGUAGGGUCCGAGCGUUGUCCGGAAUUACUGGGCGUAAAGAGCUCGUAGGUGGUUUGUCGCGUUGUUCGUGAAAACCCACAACUCAAUUGUGGGCGUGCGGGCGAUACGGGCAGACUGGAGUACUGCAGGGGAGACUGGAAUUCCUGGUGUAGCGGUGGAAUGCGCAGAUAUCAGGAGGAACACCGGUGGCGAAGGCAGCCACCUGGACAGUAACUGACGCUGAGGAGCGAAAGCGUGGGGAGCAAACAGG